rnacentral:rRNA from 1 species
AGCAGUCGCCGCGGUAAUACGAAGGGUGCAAGCGUUAAUCGGAAUUACUGGGCGUAAAGCGUGCGUAGGCGGUUUGUUAGGUCUGCUGUGAAAUCCCCGGGCUCAACCUGGGAAUGGCAGUGGAUACUGGCAAGCUAGAGUGUGUCAGAGGAUGGUGGAAUUCCCGGUGUAGCGGUGAAAUGCGUAGAGAUCGGGAGGAACAUCAGUGGCGAAGGCGGCCAUCUGGGACAACACUGACGCUGAGGCACGAAAGCGUGGGGAGCAAACAGGAUUAGAUACCCCAGUAGUCCCUGUCUCUUAUAC